GCAAGUGCAAGUACGAGCCGACGUCGAGAGACUGCCGGCGACACUGCGAAAGGCUCAUUAAAUCAGUCGUGGUUCAAGCGGUCGUGCGACGACUCGCCGAGUCGUCUUCGGGGAUAACCCUUAGAAAAUCUAGAGCUAAUACAUGCGAACGAGCGCCGACUUCGGGAGGCGUGCAUUUAUCAGUCCGCGCGUCGGCCUCGCUUCGGCGAGUCGAUCGUGGUGACUCUGGAUAACGAGAAGCGGAUCGCCCGGGAGCGUCAUGCGCGAUAGCCCGGCGACCGAUCGGACGAGCGUCCGACCCAUCAACUGCCGUCGGUACGGUCUCGGCCUACCGAGGUGCUCACGGGUAACGGGGAAUCGGGGUUCGAUUCCGGAGAGGGAGCCCGAGAAACGGCCGCCACUUCCAAGGAAGGCAGCAGGCGCGCAAAUUACCCACUUCAGACUCUGAGAGGUAGUGACGAGAAAUAUCGAUGUCGGGCCCCGACCGGGCGCCGCCAAUCGAAAUGAGCGCAGCUCAAAGAACCGAAAAUCCGAAGGUCGCGUCGGGUUCGCGCCCGGCGUCGGCCGAGGGACGUGCGAGUAUCGAUCGGAGGGCAAGUCUGGUGCCAGCAGCCGCGGUAAUUCCAGCUCCGAAAGCGUAUGCUUAAGUUGUUGCGGUUUAAAAGCUCGUAGUCGGAAGAAAGCUCGGCCGCAACUUCUCGUCCCGGCGUCGUCGGGGAGCGGACGCGCCGCGAGGCCGCCCGCUUUCUCGUGCGCGCCGGAUGGCGAACUGUUGAAAGAGCCAGCAUUCGUUCGUGCGGUCGGCCGACGCGCCGCGAGGCGCGCCGAGAGUCGACCGCGAGUUGCCCUGAGAAAAUUGAAGCGCAUCAGGGCGGGUCGUCGCAAAGACCCAGAACAGUCGUGCACGGUACAACGGAAG
rnacentral:rRNA from 1 species